rnacentral:lncRNA from 1 species
UCCCGGGCCUCAGCCCCUCUGCUGCAGACCCUCGGGAUCGUCGCUGGAAAGAUUCUGGAGCUCGGCCGAGAGGGAUGUGUGAGUGGAGACCAGUGAAGUAACAGUUUUUGUGUUACGAUGAUUUCUGUUUUCCUCUGCUGCCCUGUAAUGGCAGGAACUCGGAUAGUCUGGUCUUCAGACCAGGAGGUCUCCCAGGAGAGAAUGGAGAGCCAGCAUGCUGUGUGUCACGGUCCCUGGAUGAACGUUUGUGGAACUGGAUUGAAUUAAACAAGACGUGCAAAGCAAGUGGUUCACGAGGUAGUGUGGGGAUGUAGGGCUGGGGACUGACCCGGGAAGCAGGACACGGCCCAAGCCCUGCCUCGGCCUCACCUCUAACUGGCUGAUGACCUUGGAUGAUUCCCUUCCCAUCCUGGGCCUCUGUUUUCUCAUCUGUAAAAUGGGCAGAUUGGCAAUGUGGCCACCAGGUCUGUA